rnacentral:rRNA from 1 species
GUACACUCCUACGGGAGGCAGCAGUGGGGAAUAUUGCACAAUGGGCGCAAGCCUGAUGCAGCCAUGCCGCGUGUAUGAAGAAGGCCUUCGGGUUGUAAAGUACUUUCAGCGGGGAGGAAGGCAAUACGGUUAAUAACCGUGUUGAUUGACGUUACCCGCAGAAGAAGCACCGGCUAACUCCGUGCCAGCAGCCGCGGUAAUACGGAGGGUGCAAGCGUUAAUCGGAAUUACUGGGCGUAAAGCGCACGCAGGCGGUCUGUCAAGUCGGAUGUGAAAUCCCCGGGCUCAACCUGGGAACUGCAUUCGAAACUGGCAGGCUUGAGUCUUGUAGAGGGGGGUAGAAUUCCAGGUGUAGCGGUGAAAUGCGUAGAGAUCUGGAGGAAUACCGGUGGCGAAGGCGGCCCCCUGGACAAAGACUGACGCUCAGGUGCGAAAGCGUGGGGAGCAAACAGGAUUAGAUACCCUAGUAGUCCCAUGA